rnacentral:rRNA from 1 species
CCUACGGGUGGCAGCAGUGGGGAAUAUUGCACAAUGGGGGAAACCCUGAUGCAGCGACGCCGCGUGAGCGAAGAAGGCCUUCGGGGCGUAGAGCUCUUUUAUAUGGGAAGAUAAUGACGGUACCAUAAGAAAAAGCCCCGGCUAACUACGUGCCAGCAGCCGCGGUAAUACGUAGGGGGCUAGCGUUGUCCGGAAUCACUGGGCGUAAAGGGUUCGCAGGCGGCAAUGCAAGUCAGAUGUAAAAGGCAAAGGCUCAACCUUUGUAAGCAUCUGAAACUGUAUAGCUUGAGAAGUGUAGAGGCAAGUGGAAUUUUUAGUGUAGCGGUGAAAUGCGUAGAUAUUAAAAAGAAUACCGGUGGCGAAGGCGACUUGCUGGGCACAAUCUGACGCUGAGGAACGAAAGCGUGGGGAGCAAACAGGAUUAGAUACCCUUGUAGUC